rnacentral:rRNA from 1 species
GACGAACGCUGGCGGCGUACCUAAUACAUGCAAGUCGAGCGAAGUUUUUCUGGUGCUUGCACUAGAAAAACUUAGCGGCGAACGGGUGAGUAACACGUAAAGAACCUGCCUCAUAGACUGGGACAACUAUUGGAAACGAUAGCUAAUACCGGAUAACAGUAUUUCUCGCAUGAGAGAUAUUUAAAAGUUGGUUAUGCUAACACUAUGAGAUGGCUUUGCGGUGCAUUAGCUAGUUGGUGGGGUAAAGGCCCACCAAGGCGACGAUGCAUAGCCGACCUGAGAGGGUGAUCGGCCACACUGGGACUGAGACACGGCCCAGACUCCUACGGGAGGCAGCAGUAGGGAAUCUUCCGCAAUGGGCGAAAGCCUGACGGAGCAACGCCGCGUGAGUGAAGAAGGAUUUCGGUUCGUAAAGCUCUGUUGUUAGGGAAGAAUGGAUAUGUAGUAACUAUACAUGUAAGAGACGGUACCUAACCAGAAAGCCACGGCUAACUACGUG